UACGGGGGGGGCAAGCGUUGUUCGGAAUUACUGGGCGUACAGGGCUCGUAGGCGGCCAACUAAGUCGGACGUGAAAUCCCCAGGCUCAACCUGGGAACUGCGUCCGAUACUGGAUGGCUUGAAUCCGGGAGAGGGAUGCAGAAUUCCAGGUGUAGCGGUGAAAUGCGUAGAUAUCUGGAGGAAUACCGGUGGCGAAGGCGGCAUCCGGGACCGGCAUUGACGCUGAGGAGCGAAAGCCAGGGGAGCAAACGGG
rnacentral:rRNA from 1 species